rnacentral:rRNA from 1 species
UACGUAGGGUGCGAGCGUUGUCCGGAAUUAUUGGGCGUAAAGAGCUUGUAGGCGGUUUGUCGCGUCUGCUGUGAAAAUCCGGGCUCAACCCCGGACUUGCAGUGGGUACGGGCAGACUAGAGUUCGGCAGGGGAGACUGGAAUUCCUGGUGUAGCGGGUGAAAUGCGCAGAUAGUCCGGAGGAACACCGGUGGCGAAGGCGGCUCCUGGACCAUGACUGACGCUGAGGCGCGAAGCUAGGG